GACGAACGCUGGCGGCGUGCUUAACACAUGCAAGUCGAACGGAAAGGCCCUGCUUUUGUGGGGUGCUCGAGUGGCGAACGGGUGAGUAACACGUGAGUAACCUGCCCUUGACUUUGGGAUAACUUCAGGAAACUGGGGCUAAUACCGGAUAGGAGCUCCUGCUGCUUGGUGGGGGUUGGAAAGUGUCGGCGGUUGGGGAUGGACUCGCGGCUUAUCAGCUUGUUGGUGGGGUAGUGGCUUACCACGGCUUUGACGGGUAGCCGGCCUGAGAGGGUGACCGGCCACAUUGGGACUGAGAUACGGCCCAGACUCCUACGGGAGGCAGCAGUGGGGAAUAUUGCACAAUGGGCGGAAGCCUGAUGCAGCAACGCCGCGUGCGGGAUGACGGCCUUCGGGUUGUAAACCGCUUUCGCCUGUGACGAAGCGUGAGUGACGGUAAUGGGUAAAGAAGCACCGGCUAACUACGUG
rnacentral:rRNA from 1 species